rnacentral:rRNA from 1 species
AGGACGAACGCUGGCGGCGCGCUUAACACAUGCAAGUCAAACGUGAAGCUGGAGCUUGCUCCGGUGGAAAGUGGCGAACGGGUGCGUAACACGUGAGCAACCUGCCCCGAAGACUGGGAUAACACCGGGAAACCGGUGCUAAUACCGGAUACCUUCUUCCGAUCGCAUGGUUGGAUGAAGAAAUGGAUUCCGCUUCGGGAUGGGCUCGCGGCCUAUCAGCUUGUUGGUGAGGUAACGGCCCACCAAGGCGACGACGGGUAGCUGGUCUGAGAGGACGACCAGCCACACUGGGACUGAGACACGGCCCAGACUCCUACGGGAGGCAGCAGUGGGGAAUCUUGCUCAAUGGGCGAAAGCCUGAAGCAGCGACGCCGCGUGCGGGAUGAAGGCCCUCGGGUUGUAAACCGCUUUCAGCAGGGACGAAAUUGACGGUACCUGCAGAAGAAGGCCCGGCCAACUACGUGCCAGCAGCCGC